rnacentral:rRNA from 1 species
UAGGGAAUAUUAGAAAUGGACGAAAGUCUGAUCUAGCAACACCGCGUGUGCGAAGAAGGCCUUCGGGUCGUAAAGCACUUUUUGGAAGGAAUAGGAAGGAAUGUAUUUCCAGAAUAAGUCUCAGCUAACUACGUGCCAGCAGCCGCGGUAACACGUAGGAGGCAAACGUUAUCCGGAUUUACUGGGCGUAAAGCGCGUGUAGGUGGUACUGUAAGUAGGGCGUGAAAGCUCCUGGCUCAACUGGGAGAGGCCGUUCUAAACUACAGAACUAGAGGAUGGUAGAGGGAGGUGGAAUUCCAGGUGUAGCGGUGGAAUGCGCAGAUAGCUGGAGGAACACCGGUGGGGAAGGCGGCCUCCUGGACCAUUCCUGACACUCAGACGCGAAA